rnacentral:rRNA from 1 species
AACGAACGCUGGCGGCAUGCUUAGCACAUGCAAGUCGAACGAGACCUUCGGGUCUAGUGGCGCACGGGUGCGUAACGCGUGGGAAUCUGCCCUUUGCUACGGAAUAACUCAGAGAAAUUUGUGCUAAUACCGUAUAAUGUCGUAAGACCAAAGAUUUAUCGGCAAAGGAUGAGCCCGCGUAAGAUUAGCUUGUUGGUGGGGUAAAGGCCUACCAAGGCGACGAUCUUUAGCUGGUCUGAGAGGAUGAUCAGCCACACUGGGACUGAGACACGGCCCAGACUCCUACGGGAGGCAGCAGUGGGGAAUAUUGGACAAUGGGCGAAAGCCUGAUCCAGCAAUGCCGCGUGAGUGAUGAAGGCCUUAGGGUUGUAAAGCUCCUUUACCAGGGAUGAUAAUGACAGUACCUGGAGAAUAAGCUCCGGCUAACUCCGUGCCAGCCGCCGCCGUAA